rnacentral:sRNA from 1 species
GGUUGUGAUCCUGGGGAAACACUCAAGAGGUUAUCACUACAUGCUCGCUAACCUGUUCCCUUUGAUACUGAGCUCUAUCUGGCAAAGACUUCUUUGUACAUUUACAUGGAACUUCCCCUGGUAGCAAUCCUAAAGCGAGAAGACUUGGAUAUUCCACGAAUGCUUUAACGAAGACCUCUCAGAGGUCAAGAUGUACAUUUCAGAGUGGAAAAUGAGCUGCAGAAAAUUCUAGCUUGUUGAAAUCCCGGAAAGAAACAGAAGAUUUCACCAAGAGUACAACCCAGAGAUGUGAUCUACUCAGGCCAGGAGUGGACAUCCCAAUAGAGCAAGACUGUCUCUAACAUGGUGCUGUUUGUCAACGUUAGUCCCAGAGUUAGCCAUCAUGUGUACAAUCUGUCAGUCAAGCAGCCGCUCAAUUUCUCAUGGUCUUCUUGUUCUGUUCUCUACUUUCCCUUUCUUCGUUCUGACAUUUUUUAUGUUCUAAAUAAAAAAUUCAAAUGCUCAAA